GGACUGCUCCAAUGCUCUCCGAGCUUCAUUAUCAGUCGAAUUUCUACAGUGAUCGGCUACCCUUUGAAUCUCUUCCAGACUUCUUCCUGCCACGAACGACUUUACUCCAAACUUCUUUCGAACUUCGUCAAUGUCCGAGCUUCUCCAACAGCAGGACUUCUAUAGCAAUCAAACUCCAUCCAAGUUUCUACGACGGUCGACCACCUUCUGGAUUUCAUCCAAGCUCC
rnacentral:lncRNA from 1 species